rnacentral:lncRNA from 1 species
GUGAGGGGUCCUUACUGAGCCCUGGACGACCAGGUGAGGGGUCCUUACUGAGACCUGGACGACCAGGUGAGGAGAGUUCCUUACUGAGACCUAGACAACCAGGUGAGGGGAGUUCCUUACUGAGACCUAGACAACCAGGUGAGGGGAGUUCCUUACUGAGAUCUAGACAACCAGGUGAGGGGAGUUCCUUACUGAGACCUGGACAACCAGGUGAGGGGAGACCUAGACAACCAGGCGAGGGGAGUUCCUUACUGAGACCUAGACAACCAGGUGAGGGGAGUUCCUUACUGAGACCUAGACAACCAGGUGAGGGGAGUUCCUUACUGAGACCUAGACAACCAGGUGAGGGGCGUUCCUUACUAAUUAGUGACCUUAAUUCAUCAAUCAAGUAUUCUAUUCUCGUUCUGAGAAAUGAAGGCUAUUCCAUGUUAGAAAUUGCCAAGAAACUGAAGAAGCGACUCCGGGAUGCUGGCCUUCUAGGCAGAGUUCCUCUGUCCAGUGUCUGUGUUCUUUUGCCCAUCUUAAUCUUUUCUUUUUAUUGGCCAGUCUGAGAUACGGCUUUUCCUUUGCAACUCUGCCUAGAAGGCCAGCAUCCCGGAGUCGCCUCUUCACUGUUGACGUUGAGACUGGUGUUUUGCGGGUACUAUUUAAUGAAGCUGCCAGUUGAGGACUUGUGAGGCGUCUGUUUCUCAAACUAGACACUCUAAUGUACUUGUCCUCUUGUUCAGUUGUGCACCGGGGCCUCCCACUCCUCUUUCUAUUCUGGUUAGAGACAGUUUGCGCUGUUCUGUGAAGGGAGUAGUACACAGCGUUGUACGAGAUAUUCAGUUUCUUGGCAAUUUCUCACAUGGAAUAGCCUUCAUUUCUCAGAACGAGAAUAGGCUGACGAGUUUCAGAAGAAAGUCUGUAAUCGAACCUACAAAUGCUGAUGCUCCAGAUACUCAACUAGUCUAAAGAAGGCCCGUUUUAUUGCUUCUUUAAUUAGAACAACAGUUUUAAGCCGUAUCCAGCUACAAUAGUCAUUUACAACAUUAACGAUGUCUUCACUGUAUUUCUGAUCAAUUUGAUGUUAUUUUAAUAGUAAAAAAAAAAGAGCUUUUCUUUCAAAAACAAGGACAUUUCUAAGUGACCCCAAACUUUUGAACGGUAGUGUACAUGUUUUCUGCUGGUUAAGACAUCUCCACUACAGGACCUUGAUGAGUGUGCAUGAAGAGAAUUCUCUUGGUAGAUAAUGCGGUCGGCAUUUUGAUUGUAAGGAAUUCUAAGUCAGGUGAACAAAAGUACUUGAGUUCCGGUGUAAUCACAACAACAUACAGGAACUCAAGUCCUUUUAUUCACCUGACUUAGAAUUCCUUACGAUCAAAUGCCGACCGCAUUAUCUACCAAGAGAAUUCUCUUCGAUUAUAAUCACAGUCGUGUAUAUCCCCCCCUCCAAGCAGACACAUCGACGGCCCUGAAUGAACUUCAGGUAAACUGGAAACCACAUAUCCUGAAGCUGCAUUUAUUGUAGCUGGGGAUUUUAACAAGGCUAAUCUGAAAACAAGGCACCCUAAAUUUUAUCAGCAUAUCGAAAGUGCUAUCCAGGGCUGGCAAAAAGCCCUCCCUCGCUCCUCCUUUCAGCAAAUCUGACCACGACUCCAUUUUGUUGCUCCCAGCCUAUAGGCAGAAACUAAAACAGGAAGCGCCCGUGCUCAGGUCUGUUCAACACUGGUCCGACCUAAUCAGAUUUCACGCUUCAGGAUUGCUUCGAUCACGUGGACUGGGAUAUGUUCCGGAUAGCCUCAGACAACAACAUUUAUGUAUACGCUGACUCGGUGAGCGAGUUUAUUAGCAAGUGCAUCGGUGAUGUUGUACUCACUGUGACUAUUAAAACCUUCCCCAACCAGAAACUGUGGCUUGAUGGCAGCAUUCGUGCAAAACUGAAAGCGCGAACCGCUGCUUUUAAUCAGGGCAAGGUGACCGGAAACGUGACCGAAUACAAACAGUGUAGCUAUUCCCUCCGUAAGGCAAUCAAACAAGCUAAGCGUCAGUAUAGAGACAAAGUGGAGUCGCAAUUCAAUGACUCAGACACGAGAGGUAUGUGGCAGGGUCUACAGUCAAUCACGGACUACAAAAAGAAAACCAACCCCGUCGCGGACCCCGAUGUCUUGCUCGCAGACAAACUAAACAACUUCUUUGCUCGCUUUGAGGACAGUACAGUGCCACCCGACACGGCCCGCUACCAAAACCUGCGGGCUCUCCUUCCCGCUACCGCAGCCAACGUGAGUAAAACAUUUAAACGUGUUAAACCCUCGCAAGGCUGCCGGCCCAGACAGCAUCCCCGGCCGCGUCCUCAGAGCAUGCGCAGACCAGCUGGCUGGUGUGUUUACGGACAUAUUCAAUCAAUCCAUAUCGCAGUCUGCUGUUCCCACAUGCUUCAAGAGGGCCACCAUUGUUCCUGUUCCCAAGAAAGCUAAGGUAACUGAGCUAAAUGACUAUCGCCCCGUAGCACUCACUUCCGUCAUCAUGAAGUGCUUUGAGAGACUAGUCAAGGAUCAUAUCACCUCCACCCUACCUGAUACCCUAGACCCACUCCAAUUUGCUUACCGCCCCAAUAGGUCCACAGACGACGCAAUCGCCAUCACACUACACACUGCCCUAUCCCAUCUGGACAAGAGGAAUACCUAUGUAAGAAUGCUGUUCAUCGACUACAGCUCAGCAUUCAACACCAUAGUACCCUCCAAACUCGUCAUUAAGCUCGAGACCCUGGAUCUCGACCCCGCCCUGUGCAUCAUGGUCCUGGACUUCCUGACUGGCCGCCUCCAGGUGGUGAGGGUAGGAAACAACAUCUCCACCCCGCUGAUCCUCAACACUGGGGCCCCCACAAGGGUGCGUUCUCAGCCCUCUCCUGUACUCCCUGUUCACCCAUGACUGCGUGGCCAUGCACGCCUCCAACUCAAUCAUCAAGUUUGCAGACGACACUACAGUAGUAGGCUUGAUUACCAACAACGACGAGACGGCCUACACGGAGGAGGUGAGGGCCCUCAGAGUGUGGUGUCAGGAAAAUAACCUCACACUCAACGUCAACAAAACAAAGGAGAUGAUCGUGGACUUCAGGAAACAGCAGAGGGAGCACCCCCCUAUCCACAUCGACGGGACAACAGUGGAGAAGGUGGAAAGUUUUAAGUUCCUCGGCGUACACAUCACGGACAAACUGAAAUGGUCCACCCACACAGACAGUGUGGUGAAGAAGGCGCAACAGCGCCUCUUCAACCUCAGGAGGCUGAAGACAUUUGGCUUGUCACCAAAAACACUCACAAACUUUUACAGAUGCACAAUCGAGAGCAUCCUGUCGGGCUGUAUCACCGCCUGGUACGGCAACUGCUCCGCCCACAACCGUAAGGCUCUCCAGAGGGUGGUGCGGUCUGCACAACGCAUCACCGGGGGCAAACUACCUGCCCUUCAGGACACCUCCACCACCCGAUGUCACAGGAAGGCCAAAAUAUAAUCAAGGUCAUCAACCACCCGAGCCACUGCCUGUUCACCCUGCUAUCAUCCAGAAGGCGAGGUCAGUACAGGUGCAUCAAAGCUGGGACCGAGAGACUGAAAAACAGCUUCUAUCUCAAGGCCAUCAGACUGUUAAACAGCCAUCACUAACAUUGAGUGGCUGCUGCCAACAUACUGACUCAUCUCUAGCCACUUUAAUAAUUAAACAUUGGAUGUAAUAAAUGUAUCACUACCCACUUUAAACAAUGCCACUUUAUUUAAUGUUUUCAUACCCUACAUUACUCAUCUCAUACUGUACUCUAUACCAUCUACUGCAUCUUGCCUAUGCCGUUCGGCCAUCGCUC